rnacentral:rRNA from 1 species
AAACCGGGGCUAAUACCGGAUAACAUUUUGAACCGCAUGGUUCGAAAUUGAAAGGCGGCUUCGGCUGUCACUUAUGGAUGGACCCGCGUCGCAUUAGCUAGUUGGUGAGGUAACGGCUCACCAAGGCAACGAUGCGUAGCCGACCUGAGAGGGUGAUCGGCCACACUGGGACUGAGACACGGCCCAGACUCCUACGGGAGGCAGCAGUAGGGAAUCUUCCGCAAUGGACGAAAGUCUGACGGAGCAACGCCGCGUGAGUGAUGAAGGCUUUCGGGUCGUAAAACUCUGUUGUUAGGGAAGAACAAGUGCUAGUUGAAUAAGCUGGCACCUUGACGGUACCUAACCAGAAAGCCACGGCUAACUACGUGCCAGCAGCCGCGGUAAUACGUAGGUGGCAAGCGUUAUCCGGAAUUAUUGGGCGUAAAGCGCGCGCAGGUGGUUUCUUAAGUCUGAUGUGAAAGCCCACGGCUCAACCGUGGAGGGUCAUUGGAAACUGGGAGACUUGAGUGCAGAAGAGGAAAGUGGAAUUCCAUGUGUAGCGGUGAAAUGCGUAGAGAUAUGGAGG